CACGUAGGGCGCAAGCGUUGUCCGGAAUUAUUGGGCGUAAAGAGCUCGUAGGCGGUCUGUUGCGUCUGCUGUGAAAACCCGGGGCUUAACCCCUGGCUUGCAGUGGAUACGGACAGACUAGAGGUAGGUAGGGGAGAAUGGAAUUCCCGGUGUAGCGGUGAAAUGCGCAGAUAUCAGGAAGAACACCCGUGGCUAAGGCGGCUCUCUAGUACGGUACUGACGCUGAGACGCGAAAGCGUGGGGAGCGAACAGG
rnacentral:rRNA from 1 species